UUCUGUUUGAUGUAUUUAUUAAUUCUGGGAUAAAACUAUCCAUGUGUUGAAUUAUCUUUGUCAUCUGUGUUCAUACUUUUGUCUCUACUCUUUAUUAUUAUCAUUAUUAUUAUUUUUUGAGAUGGAGGUCUCACUAUGUUGGCCAGGCUGGUCUUGAACUGCUGGGCUUAAGUGAUCUUCUGGCUUUAGCCUCCUGAGUAGCUGGAAUUAUAGGUGCAUGCCACCAUGUCCAGUUUUUGUCUCUAAUUAUUGUUUUGAGUUUUCUUUUUUCCCUCAUUUACUGAUUGUCAGUGUUUUUAUCCUCCUUGUGUUCAUCUUUAUAAAUUUUUAGUUCAUAUAUUGUAUAAUGGUUUUUGUUUGAUCUCAGUCUGUUUUUUUUCUAGAAUCACGCUUUUCAUCUGGUUCUAAUUGUUUUAUGAUCUUAUGUUUAAGCUUUUAUAGGAUUUAUAUUUUAAUUUAAUUAUGAAGCAUCUUUGGUUAAUUUGCCUUUGUUCUUAAUUUGUCUUUGUCCAAAUUUGCGGCUGCUUUCCAUACUGGGUUAUUUGCUUUGUGAAUGCUGUGCACAUUUUUUCUGGUUUAUUAUUUUUGUUUUGUUUUUAAGUACACUAGCAUAGUUGUUAUGCCAUUUCUUUUCAUCUUUCAUCUUGCUCGUGAUUGACC
rnacentral:lncRNA from 10 species